CCUACGGGUUGCAGCAGUGGGGAAUAUUGCACAAUGGGCGCAAGCCUGAUGCAGCCAUGCCGCGUGUACGAAGAAGGCCUUCGGGUUGUAAAGUACUUUCAGCGAGGAGGAAGGCGUUAAGGUUAAUAACCUUGGCGAUUGACGUUACUCGCAGAAGAAGCACCGGCUAACUCCGUGCCAGCAGCCGCGGUAAUACGGAGGGUGCAAGCGUUAAUCGGAAUUACUGGGCGUAAAGCGCACGCAGGCGGUCUGUCAAGCCGGAUGUGAAAUCCCCGGGCUCAACCUGGGAACUGCAUCCGAAACUGGCAGGCUAGAGUAUUGUAGAGGGGGGUAGAAUUCCAGGUGUAGCGGUGAAAUGCGUAGAGAUCUGGAGGAAUACCGGUGGCGAAGGCGGCCCCCUGGACAAAGACUGACGCUCAGGUGCGAAAGCGUGGGGAGCAAACAGGAUUAGAUACCCCGGUAGUC
rnacentral:rRNA from 1 species